AAUCAACGCUGGCAGCGUGCCUAACACAUGCAAGUCAGGGAGAAAGAGGUAGCAAUAUCUCGAGUAAACCGGCGAACGGGUGAGUAACACGUAGGUAACCUGCCCUCGAGUUGGGAAUAACUUCGAGAAAUCGAGGCUAAUACCGGAUAAUGCAACGAACUCGCAUGGGUUUGUUGUUAAAGUUCCGCGCAAGCGGAACGCUUGAGGAUGGACCUGCGGCCGAUUAGCUAGUUGGCGGAGUAACAGCCCACCAAGGCGACGAUCGGUAGCCGACCUGAGAGGGUGGACCGGCCACACUGGGACUGAGAUACGGCCCAGACUCCUACGGGAGGCAGCAGUGGGGAAGUAUUGGUACAAUGGGCGCAAGCCUGAUCCAGCCAUGCCGCGUGUGUGAAGAAGGCCUCGGUU
rnacentral:rRNA from 1 species